UACGAAGGGGGCUAGCGUUGUUCGGAAUUACUGGGCGUAAAGGGCGCGUAGGCGGUCCCUCAAGUCAGGCGUGAAAGCCCCGGGCUCAACCUGGGAACCGCGCUUGAGACUGGUGGGCUAGAGUUCGGGAGAGGAUGGUGGAAUUCCCAGUGUAGAGGUGAAAUUCGUAGAUAUUGGGAAGAACACCGAUGGCGAAGGCAGCCAUCUGGACCGACACUGACGCUGAGGCGCGAAAGCCAGGGGAGCAAACGGG
rnacentral:rRNA from 1 species